AGGUGGUGUCCUUCCUUGUUACAUUCUAUUUGAGCUUUAUUAUGAUUCUCUUCUUCCAUUGGGGAUAAUAAAAAUUAAGUUGGGGAAAAGAAUAACUAAUUUAAUUAAGUCCUCGAGUAUGGUCAGAAAUAAUUAGUUUUGUAUAUCUGAAUUUUAUCUCAAUUUGAAGUUAACUAGAUACCUUAAUUAAUGAGUGAUUAACAGUCUAGAUAAUUUUAGAGAUAUUAAGGAAGAAAUUAUUAAGGA
rnacentral:lncRNA from 1 species